UGUUCGGAUAACCUGCGACGGAUUGG
rnacentral:sRNA from 1 species